CUAUGGGGAAUUAAGAUACAAGGAAGGUUCCUUUUCUGGGUCCUUCAGUUUCUCAUAAGGCACAUCUUUGUUGAAAAACACGGCUUGUUGGAGGAAGAAAAGGAACAAGAACUAGACACUUGGGGAGUAAGCUAAUCUGGAACCAUUUGGCUUUUGAAGUGUCUAGAACCAUUCUGGUUCUCUGCAACCUUGCGCUCCAGGGACCGGCAUUACCCAGGAGCUUCUGGGAGUAACCAGAAUAUCCAGACACUAAGUCUCAUUUUAACAUGACACCCGCUUCCCCAAGCCUCACCCCCAGGUCACCAACCUUUGCAUUUAAGCUGGAGAAGCACAGCCGUAAACCAUCUGUCCCUCAUUGCCCAGGUCAGGGGGAGGUUGCCAAACCAGGGACUCAGCGUUUCAAAGUUCAGGUGCAUACUCGAUGUCUUUGUAGAAAAGUGUUCUCUUGCACACAACUGAAUGUUGGUAACUGGCACAAGGAUCCUCUAUGAGAGCUAAGGCUCAGAAGUGACGAGACUUCCCUAAGGCUCCCCAGCAAGCUGGAGUCGGAGUUGGGUGCUCUGAAAACAAGGUACAGACAUUUAGCGCCAGACCAGGUGUGGGUAGUGUAAACUUCCAAAGUGGGCCUGGGUCCUAAAUGGGGUUAAAGAAGCUGCCCAGGUUAACUGAGGGGAGGGAGAAGGGCCCCUCUGCUUGAAAAAUCUGCAGCUUGGAAGGAAUGUGGCUUUGGUGCUGGGCACGCCCCCAUGGUUCUCACCCGUAACACAGAUGUAAUUAAGGGAGCAGCAGGUACAGAAUCAGCCAGGCUGUGGGUUGCUGGGAUGGCACCCAGGAGGGAAGCCAGGCCCUCAAGCAGGGGCCGGACAGCUAAGACCAGGCCAGAGAUGGUGGGAGGUAGAGACGGGCAGUGAGCAAGGGGUGAGCCCAUGGACGGUGGAGAGGGCUGAGGCCCCACAAACGGACAGACUGUCUUGUCUGGAUUGCAUUACAGUGCUUGUUACAGUUCAGUAGCCUGAACCCUCAGAACCUGGACAUUCAAGGCCAUGAACUCUGGUCUGGGGAAGGGGCAGUGAGCAUGCGCUCAGGUGGGGCUCCAGAGGAAGGCUCUGAGCCAGUUUUCCACAGCUUACAAGCAGCACCUGUCCUGGCCAGCACUGUCUCUGACGUUCAGAGUGACUGCCUGGAAGGUGCUUCCCUACAGACGUCUCCAUCUGAAAUCAACUCCCUUGUAUAUAAGGGAACAACUUUGACGCUUUGGUGACAGGUACUUCCUCUGUGCCUGCUGAUGGACUUAAUGGCCCAACUUGUCCUUGGCUUACCUGGGCAGAGGGACAGUCAACCCCAGAACCCAAUACAGCUGCCCUCACUGAGGGCCUCUAGACCUAAGGUGGGGGGUGCUCUGAGCACCAUCCUGUGACGGUGACACAAACACCUCCAUUUUCUGCACCAGAGUGAAAAAUAAAUGCUUUUAUUGCAGGGCUAACGAUGGAUAUUCACAAGGGUGUGAAAUUGUAAAUUGACAGGCAGGGAAGGCACACUGGGGGACAGAGGGUGGUGGUGG